rnacentral:RNase_P_RNA from 1 species
UGAGUCGUUCGGAUGAUCGCGGCCAGAUACUGCUUGCAGUACUUGGCUGAGGAAAGUCGGGGCUUCACAGGACAGAGUGCUGGCGAGAGCCAGGUCGGGGCGACUUGACGAAUGGUGCAACAGAGAAUAAACCGCCGAUGGGCAAUGACCGCAAGGUCAUCGUCACAGGUAAGGCUGAAACGGUGCGGUAAGAGCGCACCAGCGUACGAAGCAAUUUGUGCGGCUUGGUAUCAACACUCGAAGCAAGACCAUGCAGAGGGCAUGAGCGGUCCGU